AACGCGAAGAACCUUACCUGGGCUCGAAAUGCAGGAGACCGGGGUAGAAAUAUCCUUUCCUCGCAAGAGGCUGCUGUAUAGGUGCUGCAUGGCUGUCGUCAGCUCGUGCCGUGAGGUGUUGGGUUAAGUCCCGCAACGAGCGCAACCCUUAUCAUUAGUUGCCAACACGAAAGGUGGGUACUCUAGUGAGACUGCCUGGGUUAACCAGGAGGAAGGUGAGGAUGAUGUCAAGUCCGCAUGGCCUUUAUGUCCAGGGCUACACACGUGCUACAAUGGUCGGUACAGAGGGCUGCAAAUCCGCAAGGUAGAGCAAAUCCCAGAAAGCCGAUCUCAGUUCAGAUUGUGGUCUGCAACUCGACCACAUGAAGUUGGAAUUGCUAGUAAUGGCGUGUCAGCAACAACGCCGUGAAUACGUUCCCGGGCCUUGUACACACCGGUACUA
rnacentral:rRNA from 1 species